GUGGGGAAUCUUGCGCAAUGGGCGAAAGCCUGACGCAGCCAUGCCGCGUGAAUGAUGAAGGUCUUAGGAUUGUAAAAUUCUUUCACCGGGGACGAUAAUGACGGUACCCGGAGAAGAAGCCCCGGCUAACUUCGUGCCAGCAGCCGCGGUAAUACAAAGGGGGCUAGCGUUGCUCGGAAUUAAUGGUCGUAAAGGGAGCGUAGGCGGACUGUUUAGUCAGAGGUGAAAGCCCAGGGCUCAACCUUGGAAUUGCCUUUGAUACUGGCAGUCUUGAGUACGGGAGAGGUGUGUGGAACUCCGAGUGUAGAGGUGAAAUUCGUAGAUAUUCGGAAGAACACCAGUGGCGAAGGCGACACACUGGCCCGUUACUGACGCUGAGGCUCGAAAGCGUGGGGAGCAAACAGGAUUAGAUACCCCGGUAGUCC
rnacentral:rRNA from 1 species